rnacentral:rRNA from 1 species
CCUACGGGAGGCAGCAGUGGGGAAUAUUGGACAAUGGGCGAAAGCCUGAUCCAGCCAUGCCGCGUGUGUGAAGAAGGCCUUCGGGUUGUAUAGCACUUUCAGUGGGGAAGAAAGCCUUGGGGCUAAUACCCUCGAGGAAGGACAUCACCCACAGAAGAAGCACCGGCUAACUCCGUGCCAGCAGCCGCGGUAAUACGGAGGGUGCGAGCGUUAAUCGGAAUUACUGGGCGUAAAGCGCGCGUAGGCGGUCUGAUAAGCCGGUUGUGAAAGCCCCGGGCUCAACCUGGGAACGGCAUCCGGAACUGUCAGGCUAGAGUGCAGGAGAGGAAGGUAGAAUUCCCGGUGUAGCGGUGAAAUGCGUAGAGAUCGGGAGGAAUACCAGUGGCGAAGGCGGUCUUCUGGACUGACACUGACGCUGAGGUGCGAAAGCGUGGGUAGCAAACAGGAUUAGAUACCCUAGUAGUC